UACGUAGGAAGCAAGCGUUGUCCGGAAUUACUGGGCGUAAAGAGCUCGUAGGCGGGACCGUAAGUCCGAGAGGAAAUCUCAAGGCUCAACUUUGGGGCUUUCUUGGAUACUGCGGUUCUUGAGGAUGAGAGAGGUAAGUAGAAUUCCCGGUGUAGCGGUGAAAUGCGUAGAUAUCGGGAGGAAUACCAGUGGCGAAGGCGGCUUACUGGCUCAUUCCUGACGCUGAGGAGCGAAAGCGUGGGGAGCAAACGGG
rnacentral:rRNA from 1 species